UUUAACUUGUCAAGUUUAGUUUAAAAAUUUCUGGAAAAUGUUGGCUGGUAUAGUUGCUCAAUGUUUUCUCUGGUAUGUUAUUUUUUUGGUAUGCUGGCCUUCAUUCUUGGUUGUAUAACUGAACAGGCUCUGCCCACAGACUGGCAAUGGUAUGCAUUAAUAAUCAGUUAGUGAACGCCAUCUGCUCUGUCAUUAGUACUGGCAAAGAAAUGGUGAAACUGAUUGGUCAUUCUCCUUUGAAUAUCUUGGGUUGCUCUGUGUUGAAUCCAAACCAGAAUUCCUCUGUGAUCAGCAGCUUUUCUUCUUUCUCAUGAGCAGGCCCUCGGGAUUCAGGAUGACUGACUUCCAUGCCAGUUUUGUGGGCUGUGAGGUGACCAAUGACACUCGCAGAUUCUACCACAAGUGGGGCAGGAUGUGCAUCAUGGGACCGAGGAAAUGGCUUUCGCAGGAUCAUUCGGGAGAGUGCCAUUCACAAUCUACACUUACACCUGGGCGUUACAACAGCGUAGUGGUUGGUGCGACACUAUUGCAGCUCGGGCUGUUCUGGAGCUUGGAGGUCAAUUCCAGCACUGUUCUGUAAGGAGUCUCCGUACGCCCACUGGUUCUCCCCAGGUGCUCCAGUUUUCUGCCACACUUCAAAGAUGUUCUAGGGGACCUCUCCUGGGCCCAGCACGCAAGGGCAAUUAUGAAGGAAGCACAGCAGCGCCUCUACUUCCACAGAAAUUUGUGAAGAUUUGGCAUGACAUAAAACUUUGACAAAUUUCUAUAGAUGAGUGGUGAAGGGUAUAAUGACUGGUUGCUUUACAGCCCAGAACGAAAUCUCCAGCGUCCUUGAAUGGAAAAUCCUACAAAACGUAGUGGAUUGGGCACAUCUACAGAGCGUUGUCACAGGAGAGCAGCAUCCAUCAUCAAAAACCCCACCACCCGAGACUGUCUUCUCGUUGCUGCAAUCGGGAAGAAUGUACAGGAGCCUCAGGACUCACACCACUAGAUUCAGGAAAAGUUAUUAACCCUCAACCUUCAGGCUCUUGAACCAGAGGGGUUAACUUCACGCCACUUCACUUGCCCCAUCACCAAACUAUUCCCACAAUCUAUGGACUGACUUUCAAAGACUCCUCAUUUCAUGUUCUCUAUUUAUUGCCUAUUUAUUUAUUAUCUUUUUUUCUGUUGUAAUUGCACAGUUUGUUGUAUUUUACACAUUGGUUGUUUGUUGGUCCUAAUGGGCAUGGUCUUUCAUUGAUUCUUGGUUUUGUUGGUAUGCACACAAGAAAACUAAUCUCAAGAGUUGUAUAUAGUAACAUAUACGUACUGUAUUUUGGAAACACAUUUACCUUGAACUUUGAAGCAUUGGUCGGGAUACUCCUAUCCAGGAUCAACUACAACGAGUCCUGCUACAUCUCUUCCUGCCCUUCUAAAACCAUACAUUGUUCAGUUUUCAAUAGCGUGGAGAACUGGGUGAGAUAUUAAUGUUAUAUAUCAGCAACAAACAGUACUAGCCAGAAUCAUAGUGCCACAUCUGUUUGUCCUAACUUAUGUUGGUAGUUCAAGAUUACUACGGUUCUGGAGGGGAAUACACAGUUGAUAUUUCAGGCUGAGGCCCUUCAACAGGUCUGGAAAGGAAAGAGGCAGAAGCCAGAAUAAGGAGGUGGGAAGAGAGGAAGGAGGACAAGCAGGCAUGUGAGAGGUGAGACUGAGUGAGGGGCCUUCUCUCUUUUACCAUUCCCCAUUCCCUCUCACACCUUCUCUUCUCCUCACUUGCCUAUCACCUUCCUCUGGUUCCCCCUCUCUCCCACCCCCUUUCUUCCAUGGUCCGCUAUCCUCUGCUGUCAGAUUCCUUCUUCUUCAACCCUUUAUCUUUUCCACCUAUCCCCUCCCAACUUUACUUCGUCCUCCUUCCCCAACCCACCUACCUCCCCCCUCACCUGUU